GGGAUUAGAUACCCCACUAUGCUUAGCCUUAAACCUAGAUGUAAAUCUUACAAAUACAUCCGCCAGGGUACUACAAGCGCUAGCUUAAAACCCAAAGGACUUGACGGUAUCCCAGACCCGCCUAGAGGAGCCUGUUCUAGAACCGAUAAUCCCCGUUAAACCUCACCACCCCUUGUUUUCUCAGCCUAUAUACCGCCGUCGCAAGCUUACCCUGUGAAGGCCUAAUAGUAAGCAAAAUGGUAUUGCACCAGAACGUCAGGUCGAGGUGUAGCUCACGAGGUGGGAAGAAAUGGGCUACAUUUUCUGUAUCAGAAAAAUACGAAUAACACUAUGAAAUUAGUAGUUGAAGGUGGAUUUAGUAGUAAAAAACAAAUAGAGAGUCUUUUUGAACCAGGCUCUGAGAUGCGUACACACCGCCCC
rnacentral:rRNA from 1 species